rnacentral:rRNA from 1 species
GACGAACGCUGGCGGCGUGCUUAACACAUGCAAGUCGAACGGAAAGGCCCUGCUUUUGUGGGGUGCUCGAGUGGCGAACGGGUGAGUAACACGUGAGUAACCUGCCCUUGACUUUGGGAUAACUUCAGGAAACUGGGGCUAAUACCGGAUAGGAGCUCCUGCUGCAUGGUGGGGGUUGGAAAGUUUCGGCGGUUGGGGAUGGACUCGCGGCUUAUCAGCUUGUUGGUGGGGUAGUGGCUUACCAAGGCUUUGACGGGUAGCCGGCCUGAGAGGGUGACCGGCCACAUUGGGACUGAGAUACGGCCCAGACUCCUACGGGAGGCAGCAGUGGGGAAUAUUGCACAAUGGGCGGAAGCCUGAUGCAGCAACGCCGCGUGCGGGAUGACGGCCUUAGGGUUGUAAACCGCUUUCGCAUGUGACGAAGCGUGAGUGACGGUAAUGGGUAAAGAAGCACCGGCUAACUACGU